rnacentral:rRNA from 1 species
GAUGAACGCUGGCGGCGUGCCUGAUACAUGCAAGUCGAACGCACAGCGAAAGGUGCUUGCACCUUUCAAGUGAGUGGCGAACGGGUGAGUAACACGUGGACAACCUGCCUCAAGGCUGGGGAUAACAUUUGGAAACAGAUGCUAAUACCGAAUGAAACUUAGUGUCGCAUGAUACGAAGUUAAAAGGCGCUUUGGCGUCACCUAGAGAUGGAUCCGCGGUGCAUUAGUUAGUUGGUGGGGUAAAGGCCUACCAAGACAAUGAUGCAUAGCCGAGUGGAGAGACUGAUCGGCCACAUUGGGACUGAGACACGGCCCAAACUCCUACGGGAGGCUGCAGUAGGGAAUCUUCCACAAGGGGCGAAAGCCUGAUGGAGCAACGCCGCGUGUGUGAUGAAGGCUUUCGGGUCGUAAAGCACUGUUGUAUGGGAAGAACAGCUAGAAUAGGGAAUGAUUUUAGUUUGACGGUACCAUACCAGAAAGGGACGGCUAAAUACGUGCCAGCCGCCGCAGUAA